ACCUGGAAAAAACAAAAUUCUGAAUUGCAUUGUGUAUUGAUCUGUUUUCUCCUUACAUGAUGUGACCUGAAACAACUGCAAAGAAGCCAGGAAUGCUACACAUACAGGGCAGAAAGUGAAACAGCAAGGGCUUGCUAUUGAAUUCUUCUAAGGUCCUCUGACUCAGCAGAGAGAGAAGAGAUAAAUGUGUAGAAGACAACCAACAGAUAACAGGAAUUGAAGGAC